rnacentral:RNase_P_RNA from 1 species
AGCAGGCCGAACGACCGCGGGCACAGGGCGAAAGCCCGUGCGUGAGGAAAGUCCGGGCUCCACAGGGCAAGGAUAACGGGUAACACCCGCCAGGGGCGACCCUCGGACAAGUGCAACAGAAAUAGACUACCCCGCCAUCAGGCAGGGAAAAGGUGGAAAGGUGGGGUAAGAGCCCACCCGUUGCGUGGAGACACGUGGACGCUGUAAACUCUAUCCGGAGCAACACCGUGGAACGGGAGCAUACAGGCCGGCCCGGCCGCUCUCAGGAGGUGGCUUGAGCCCUUCGGCAACGGAGGGCCACAGACAGAUGGUCGUUCAGGGGGAGCAAUCCCCCGGACAGAACCCGGCUUACAGACCUGCUCGC